rnacentral:tRNA from 1 species
GCCUGGAUGGUUCAGUCGGUUGAGUGUCUGACUUCAGCUCAGGUCAUGAUCUCACGGUCUGUGGGUUUGAGCCCCGCGUCGGGCU